AUUGAACGCUGGCGGAAUGCUUUACACAUGCAAGUCGAACGGCAGCACGGACUUCGGUCUGGUGGCGAGUGGCGAACGGGUGAGUAAUGUAUCGGAAUGUGCCCAGUCGUGGGGGAUAAUGUAGUAAAAAUUACGCUAAUACCGCAUAAGAUCUAUGGAUGAAAGGGGGGGAUCGCAAGACCUCGCGCGAUAGGGGGGGCCGAUAGCAGAUUAGGUAGUUUGUGGGGUAAAGGCCCACCAAGCCAACGAUCUGUAGCUAGUCUGAGAGGACGACCAGCCUCACUGGAACUGAGACACGGUCCAGACUCCUACGGGAGGCAGCAGUGGGGAAUUUUGGACUAUGGGCGAAAGCCUGAUCCAGCCAUUCCGCGUGCAGGAUGAAGGCCCUCGGGUUGUAAACUGCUUUUGUACAGAACGAAAAGGUUUCUACUAAUACUAGGAGCUCAUGACGGUACUGUAAGAAUAAGCACCGGCUAACUACGUGCCAGCAGCCGCCGUAA
rnacentral:rRNA from 1 species